rnacentral:rRNA from 1 species
UACAGAGGUCCCAAGCGUUGUUCGGAUUCAUUGGGCGUAAAGGGUGCGUAGGCGGCGCGGUAAGUCGGGUGUGAAAUCUCGGAGCUUAACUCCGAAACUGCAUUCGAUACUGCCGUGCUUGAGGACUGGAGAGGAGACUGGAAUUUACGGUGUAGCGGUGAAAUGCGUAGAUAUCGUAAGGAAGACCAGUGGCGAAGGCGGGUCUCUGGACAGUUCCUGACACUGAGACACGAAGGCCAGGGGAGCAAAAGGG